UUUCUUUCCAUUUCCGGUGAUGGAGUUCCGGGAGCUCUAUCCGCGGCCAUAUUCAAUCGUAAAGGUCGACCUUCCACCUCCUACAAGCAUGAUUACAUAGAAACAGAAAUUGAAAAGGUAAAUAAACUUCAACCCCAAAGUAUUCAUGAACCAAGUCUUACCACUCCGUUCAUUGCAUUUAGAGCAGCCUCAACAGUCUCAGCAGACUCAAAAGAGACGAAUCCAAAACCUCGAGAUCUUCCUGUAUCCCUCUCAUAGAUGACUUUAGCACUCAACAGGCCUGGUUGACUAGCGAAAGCAUCUCUGAGACCUUGAGAGGUGACACCCCAACCGAGGUUUCCUGCAUAGAUCUUGUAAGGGCUGUCUAAAAAGCUCUUGUAACCUCUCCGUAUCUUUGGUCCCAUUACUUCCCUCUCACCACCUCUCGGCACCUCUGGGAAGUUCACCUUCACAGUCCGUCCUCCAACUUGCUGUUAGCGGUUAGGGAUAAAAGCAUUAACAUCAGCUUUACUGGCAAUUCAAAAUGGAAUAACCCACGUAAAUGGUGCUCUAAAAACCAAAGAAAUACACAACAAUUCUAGGUAAUCUGCAUAGAGCUAAAAAAACUUUGUAGGUUCAAUCAAUGGUUAAUGUAGACAGUCAAGAAACUUUAUAAUUAAACUUACGGAUCCAUCAAACAGCCUAAUUGCUUCUUUAGCAUCAUCAACGCUGGCCAUUGUAACAAAGGCAAAUCCCCUGCUUCUAUCGGUAACUCGAUCAUAGACAAUCUAUCAAACACAAUUCAACAAGAAAAGCCAUUACCAAAAAUAACCAAAAAAAUGAAGAAAACUAAUAAGAUAGCCAAAACCAAUUGGGGAACAAGGGGACGAAAAAACACAAACCUCCACAUUAGCAACACGACCAGCCUCAUUAAAAAUCUCAGAUAACUCAGAAGAAGUCAUUGAAUAGGGCAAGUUCCCAACAUACAACCUUCCUUCUUCACCACCAGACUCUGAAAUCUUCUCUUCUUCAGCUUCCUCUUGUUGUGGCGGUUCUUCAACGUUUGGACUUUCAGGGUAUUCUUCUCCAGGGCUUCGGUCAUCUUCAGUAACUAGGAAGCUAUCAAAAGAAGCUGCAAAACAGUGCAAACGGGGGAGAGACAGGUGGAGAGAGAAAGGGAGGG
rnacentral:lncRNA from 1 species